UAAUACAUCGGAACGUGUCCUGGAGUGGGGGAUAGCCCGGCGAAAGCCGGAUUAAUACCGCAUACGCUCUGAGGAGGAAAGCGGGGGAUCUUUCGGGACCUCGCGCUGCAGGGGCGGCCGAUGGCAGAUUAGCUAGUUGGUGGGGUAAAGGCCUACCAAGGCGACGAUCUGUAGCUGGUCUGAGAGGACGACCAGCCACACUGGGACUGAGACACGGCCCAGACUCCUACGGGAGGCAGCAGUGGGGAAUUUUGGACAAUGGGCGCAAGCCUGAUCCAGCAAUGCCGCGUGUGUGAAGAAGGCCUUCGGGUUGUAAAGCACUUUUGUCCGGAAAGAAAACUUCUGGGUUAAUACCCCGGGAGGAUGACGGUACCGGAAGAAUAAGCACCGGCUAACUACGUGCCAGCAGCCGCGGUAAUACGUAGGGUGCAAGCGUUAAUCGGAAUUACUGGGCGUAAAGCGUGCGCAGGCGGUUCGCUAAGACAGAUGUGAAAUCCCCGGGCUUAACCAGGGAACUGCAUUUGUGACUGGCGGGCUAGAGUAUGGCAGAGGGGGGUAGAAUUCCACGUGUAGCAGUGAAAUGCGUAGAGAUGUGGAGGAAUACCGAUGGCGAAGGCAGCCCCCUGGGCCAAUACUGACGCUCAUGCACGAAAGCGUGGGGAGCAAACAGGAUUAGAUACCCUGGUAGUCCACGCCCUAAACGAUGUCAACUAGUUGUCGGGUCCUCAUUGACUUGGUAACGUAGCUAACGCGUGAAGUUGACCGCCUGGGGAGUACGGUCG
rnacentral:rRNA from 1 species